UUGAAACACCGGUUCCCGUUCGAUCACCGAAGUUAAGCAACAUCCAGUACCUAGAUGGGUGACUGCUUGGGAAUACCAGGUGAU